AGGUUCUUUCUUUUUCUCUGCAUGGUUCAAGCUUCUACGCCCUCCCCCCCACUCCGCCUCUACCUCUUUUCUCCCUCACUCUUCUGCCUUGUUCCCUGUCAGCCUCCUCGCACCGCGGUGCUCUACCGGUUGUAAGUCACUCUCCUUUCCUCUCAGUCUGCGUCCGUGUUUGCCGUGGAUAACGCGCUGUCUCUGUGUCACGUGCUCGUUUUCGUCGGUAUGCGUCUGGCGUUCCCUUUGCAUUCUGUUCUGCUCGCCUUGUGAUAGCCAUAGAUCUUCUACCCCCCCUCCCUCCCUCCCUCCCUCCCUCCCCCCCAGCCCGGCACCGGAGCGCUGUACGCCGCCGCCUCUCCUGAGGUCUGCCGCUGGUCCCUCGCUUUGCAUUCCACGCAACCUUUUCCUCGGUCUCCACUCACCGCCAUCAUGGAGAUCGCUGACCGCCCGCUUUCCGAGAUCAUCAAGGAGCAGAAGAUCGACAAGGAGCUCCGCCGCCGUCACCGCGGCAGCCAGUCUGGUGGCAGCAAUGACAAGAAGAGUGCCAGCCGCCAAGGCAACAGCAGCCAGCGUCAGCGGCAUAACAAUAACAAAAGCGCCAGUGGCAGUCGCUCUCGCGGCAGCGGCGACCGCUCUGGAGGUAACAAGCCCGAGAGCGGGCGUCGCCGCUUUCGCACUGACGGCGGACGCCGUCGCGCUGGCAACACAGUGAGCGCCGGCAGUGGCAGCUUUGGCGCCAGCCGCCGCCGUCUCGCCGACCGCGAGGGCCGUCGCCGCCGUGGAGCCCUUGGUGGUGACAACGGCAAUGGUGGCUUUGGACGCGGUCGCGACCGCGACAACAAUGACCGCCGCGGUGUCAAGUCGGCCCCGCGCCGCCGCCGCAUCUCCGGCGCGGAGCGGAACGAGCGUAACCGCAACCGCGACCGCCGCUCCGCUCUCUCGCGCUCGCGCUUCGAUCGCGACUACUAGAGCUGGCGUGGAUGGGUGAGAGAGGGCGGUGAUGCAGAGGCACAACGCAGCUCCAAAACUGCGUGACACUGAGCACGAACGAGAGAUCAAAAGGGAGGGGCGGCUACACGGCGAAGCCUCGCGGCAGCGCAGCGCUCCUCUUCCAGUCUGCUCUAUAACCAGAGCCGCGCCCUCUCUCUGGGGUACCAGUUGUGCGGUGCCCGUCCGUGUGUGUGUGUGUGUAGGAACGUUCAGCCGUUUUCUUGUUUUGUAUUCGUGUUCUAGUAAAUGGAGAAGGGCGGGAUGGCGCUGCCGGGAACAACAAAGAAAGACGAAGAGGCCGCAUGCUUCGCCAAAGGAAGUACAGUGCACCAGUAAAGGCAUGCCGACCGGAACGAGGUGGAGUGUGCUUGGGAGAAGCAAAAAAAAAGGGAAAGAGAAGAGGGGAGGAGGCAAGCACACGAGAAGCGAUGGAGAUGCGCAAGAUUUACGUCAGGAACAUACGCGAGGGGUGGGUCGGGUGACAGUGCUUUGCCAGCGAGAAAGUUUCGUGUGUGUGUGUGUGUGUGUCGGUGUGCGAUCGCUCCACUCCCUGGGUACGUGGCACAAGGGAAACUUCCAAAGGGAGCCGACCCCAUGGGCAGCCGCUCAUUCUCAUCCUUCUCCUACCCCCUCUUUUCGGCUUCUUUUUAGAACGGCUGUUUUGGCGCUUCCUGUAUGCCAACCAAUUCUGUCUGUUUUUCUCUCUGUUUGUGGGUGUGGUUGUGGGGCCCAGGACGCAUGUUCAGCAUUCUCUGUCUAUCUCCUCCAACACCCCUCACCGCGUCUUUGCCCUCCACUGUUUCCUCUGUUUUUCUGUUUUUGUUUCAACAUGGUAACCCGUUCUUGAGUCGUGUCUCGCCUGUCGCUCCUUGCCUCGCCCGUCACGACUCAUGCAAGUGACGUGCAUAACCAUACGUCGC
rnacentral:misc_RNA from 1 species